rnacentral:rRNA from 1 species
GACGAACGCUGGCGGCGUGCUUAACACAUGCAAGUCGAACGGAAAGGCCUUUUCGGAGGUACUCGAGUGGCGAACGGGUGAGUAACACGUGGGUGAUCUGCCCUGCACUCUGGGAUAAGCCUGGGAAACUGGGUCUAAUACCGGAUAGGACCGCACUUUAGUGUGUGUGGUGGAAAGUUUUUUCGGUGUAGGAUGAGCCCGCGGCCUAUCAGCUUGUUGGUGGGGUAAUGGCCUACCAAGGCGGCGACGGGUAGCCGGACUGAGAGGUUGGUCGGCCACCUUGGGACUGAGAUACGGCCCAGACUCCUACGGGGGGCAGCAGUGGGGAAUAUUGCACAAUGGGCGCAAGCCUGAUGCAGCGACGCCGCGUGGGGGAUGACGGCCUUCGGGUUGUAAACUCCUUUCGCCAGGGACGAAGCGUUUUGUGACGGUACCUGGAGAAGAAGCACCGGCUAACUACGUG